CCUCAACAUGCAAGUCGUACGCGAAAGGACCCUUUGGGGUACAAGUAAAGUGGCGCACGGGUGAGUAACACGUAGCUUACGUACCCUCACGCUGGGGACAACUUCGGGAAACCGAAGCUAAUACCGAAUGAGCUGUAGGGGUCUUUGGCUCUUCCGGUAAAGCCGUAAGGCGCGUGAGGAUCGGGCUGCGGCCCAUUAGCUUGUUGGUGGGGUAAAGGCCUACCAAGGCGACGAUGGGUAGCUGGUCUGAGAGGAUGAUCAGCCACACUGGAACUGGAACACGGUCCAGACUCCCACGGGAGGCAGCAGUUGGGAAUAUUGCACAAUGGAGGAAACUCUGAUGCAGCAAUCCCGCGUGAGUGACGAAGGCCUUCGGGUCGUAAAGCUCUUUCAGCAGGGAAGAAGGGAAACUUGACGGUACCUGCAGAAGAAGCACCGGCUAACUACGUGCCAGCAGCCGCGGUAAUACGUAGGGUGCAAGCGUUGUUCGGAAUCAUGGGCGUAAAGCGCGUGUAGGCGGCUACUUAAGUCUGGUGUGAAAGCCCGGGGCUCAACCCCGGA
rnacentral:rRNA from 1 species